UCGAUGAUAUUUUCUGGUCGGCCGAAAC
rnacentral:sRNA from 1 species